rnacentral:rRNA from 1 species
AGGAACGACCAUACCACGAUGACAGCACCGCCUCCCGUCUGCUCAGCCAAGUUGAGCAUCGUCGGGGCAGGUUAGUACUACGGUGGGGGGCCACGUCUUUUUGUUAUUGUUUCGG